CGUAGGGGGCAAGCGUUGUCCGGAUUUAUUGGGCGUAAAGAGCGUGUAGGCGGCCAUACAGGUCAGCUGUGAAAACUCGAGGCUCAACCUCGAGACGUCGGUUGAAACCGUAUGGCUAGAGUCCGGAAGAGGAGAGUGGAAUUCCCGGUGUAGCGGUGAAAUGCGCAGAUAUCGGGAAGAACACCUAUGGCGAAGGCAGCUCUCUGGGACGGUACUGACGCUGAGACGCGAAAGCGUGGGGAGCGAACAGG
rnacentral:rRNA from 1 species